GAUGAACGCUGGCGGCGUGCCUAAUACAUGCAAGUCGAGCGAACAGACGAGGAGCUUGCUCCUCUGACGUUAGCGGCGGACGGGUGAGUAACACGUGGAUAACCUACCUAUAAGACUGGGAUAACUUCGGGAAACCGGAGCUAAUACCGGAUAAUAUAUUGAACCGCAUGGUUCAAUAGUGAAAGACGGUUUUGCUGUCACUUAUAGAUGGAUCCGCGCCGCAUUAGCUAGUUGGUAAGGUAACGGCUUACCAAGGCGACGAUGCGUAGCCGACCUGAGAGGGUGAUCGGCCACACUGGAACUGAGACACGGUCCAGACUCCUACGGGAGGCAGCAGUAGGGAAUCUUACGCAAUGGGCGAAAGCCUGACGGAGCAACGCCGCGUGAGUGAUGAAGGUCUUCGGAUCGUAAAACUCUGUUAUUAGGGAAGAACAAAUGUGUAAGUAACUAUGCACGUCUUGACGGUACCUAAUCAGAAAGCCACGGCUAACUUCGUG
rnacentral:rRNA from 1 species